rnacentral:rRNA from 1 species
AUUGAACGCUGGCGGCAGGCCUAACACAAGCAAGUCGGACGGUAGCACAGAGGAGCUUGCUCCUCGGGUGACGAGUGGCGGACGGGUGAGUAAUGUCUGGGGAUCUGCCCGAUAGAGGGGGAUAACCACUGGAAACGGUGGCUAAUACCGCAUAACGUCGCAAGACCAAAGAGGGGGACCUUCGGGCCUCUCACUAUCGGAUGAACCCAGAUGGGAUUAGCUAGUAGGCGGGGUAAUGGCCCACCUAGGCGACGAUCCCUAGCUGGUCUGAGGGGAUGACCAGCCACACUGGAACGGAGACACGGUCCAGACUCCUACGGGAGGCAGCAGUGGGGAAUAUUGCACAAUGGGCGCAAGCCUGAUGCAGCCAUGCCGCGUGUAUGAAGAAGGCCUUCGGGUUGUAAAGUACUUUCAGCGGGGAGGAAGGCGAUGUGGUUAAUAACCUUGUCGAUUGACGUUACCCGCAGAAGAAGCACCGGCUAACUCCGUGCCAGCCGCCGCCGUAA